GAGCCUGGCUGCCGUCUGAGCGCGGGCGGCCGGCGGGGCUGAGCUCCGUCCGUGGGCGCGCAGAGCCGGGGUCCGGACGGUCAGCAGCAUCUGCUCUUGGGCUGGUCUUCCGGUGAGAGCUUGAUGGAGUCUGUGAGUCCCCCUCUCACCAGGAACAGCAAAGACACCUUGGCUGGAAUCAGAACGUUUGUUCUUGGACCUGUUGGACCAGGAGGCUGGGCCUGCUGUUUCACCACCCCUGAGAGUGCCCUAGCCUCACAUCCAGGCCCGGUUGAGACCAAGAGCAGAGCCUGGGCCUUGGCCUCAAUGCCAGACUUUGGGAGGAGAGUCUGAGCUGCCGAAGCAGCUGCGUGCUUUCUGAGCUCUCUGCACUUGGCGGAACAAGCAGAAUGCUGCUUCGGAAGAUGUGAGAAGCAGACGCCUCCGUUACACAGGUUCUGGAAAGUCUGUCUUCCUGGGUUAAAGGAGCUCCACUGUUGCCUGUCUCUUUGGUCCUUGCUGUCCUGGCCUCAGGAGUGGCCCAGGCACUGGGGUCAGCUGAGUGGCCUGCCCUCUGGGGCGUCCGGACGACAUCCCCACACCCGCUUCUUUCCCCAGCCUCCCGGGAGCUGCUGCGCUGGAGCAGAGCAGGGAGCGGCCCCGGGCGCUGCUCUUGGCCUCUGGUCUCUAAGGUCCUCCUGCCUCGUGGUGCGAGGGGCUCCCCAGCCGGCCAGGACAGCCCCCUCCCCUGGACCAUAAGCGCCCCUGACCCAGCGAACAGCCAAGAAGCCUCACAGCUUGGGCAAAAUCCUGAACUAUGUGGAUGAAGUGUCAAGGACGGCCAGGUUGCUGAUUAUCAUUGUCCUCACUGGUAACACACACAUAAUUGAUCAUUAGAAAUGAACAUGUUGUGAUCCGUUGAUGGCAUCUUAGGAAUGCAAAGGGCUUUGUAUCUUUUAAAAUCCUUAAAAAGACUUUAGGGCAAGGACUGGACUUACUCUUCUUGUUGUUCCCUCCUGCUUUAUAUCCUACCCCUCCCCCGCCCCGCCAGGUGACGAGCAUCUUUCUGGGCUCCCUGUUGGUCCUUAGGAGUUGCAGUAAACGUGGAAGCGAAUUGAAAUGAACUCAGGUGCCUUUGCUUCUCCAGGAGGCAGGGAGCUGCUUCCUAUCUCAUGGCGUGAGAAGCAGAAGCCCAGACUGGUGCCCAAGUUCACCCAGAGACAGAGCUAGGAAGCUAAGCCCAUAGACACAG